GGUUAAGCGACUAAGCGUACACGGUGGAUGCCCUGGCAGUCAGAGGCGAUGAAGGACGUGCUAAUCUGCGAUAAGCGUCGGUAAGGUGAUAUGAACCGUUAUAACCGGCGAUUUCCGAAUGGGGAAACCCAGUGUGAUUCGUCACACUAUCAUUAACUGAAUCCAUAGGUUAAUGAGGCGAACCGGGGGAACUGAAACAUCUAAGUACCCCGAGGAAAAGAAAUCAACCGAGAUUCCCCCAGUAGCGGCGAGCGAACGGGGAGCAGCCCAGAGCCUGAAUCAGUGUGUGUGUUAGUGGAAGCGUCUGGAAAGGCGCGCGAUACAGGGUGACAGCCCCGUACACAAAAAUGCACAUGCUGUGAGCUCGAUGAGUAGGGCGGGACACGUGGUAUCCUGUCUGAAUAUGGGGGGACCAUCCUCCAAGGCUAAAUACUCCUGACUGACCGAUAGUGAACCAGUACCGUGAGGGAAAGGCGAAAAGAACCCCGGCGAGGGGAGUGAAAAAGAACCUGAAACCGUGUACGUACAAGCAGUGGGAGCACGCUUAGGCGUGUGACUGCGUACCUUUUGUAUAAUGGGUCAGCGACUUAUAUUCUGUAGCAAGGUUAACCGAAUAGGGGAGCCGAAGGGAAACCGAGUCUUAACUGGGCGUUAAGUUGCAGGGUAUAGACCCGAAACCCGGUGAUCUAGCCAUGGGCAGGUUGAAGGUUGGGUAACACUAACUGGAGGACCGAACCGACUAAUGUUGAAAAAUUAGCGGAUGACUUGUGGCUGGGGGUGAAAGGCCAAUCAAACCGGGAGAUAGCUGGUUCUCCCCGAAAGCUAUUUAGGUAGCGCCUCGUGAAUUCAUCUCCGGGGGUAGAGCACUGUUUCGGCAAGGGGGUCAUCCCGACUUACCAACCCGAUGCAAACUGCGAAUACCGGAGAAUGUUAUCACGGGAGACACACGGCGGGUGCUAACGUCCGUCGUGAAGAGGGAAACAACCCAGACCGCCAGCUAAGGUCCCAAAGUCAUGGUUAAGUGGGAAACGAUGUGGGAAGGCCCAGACAGCCAGGAUGUUGGCUUAGAAGCAGCCAUCAUUUAAAGAAAGCGUAAUAGCUCACUGGUCGAGUCGGCCUGCGCGGAAGAUGUAACGGGGCUAAACCAUGCACCGAAGCUGCGGCAGCGACACUAUGUGUUGUUGGGUAGGGGAGCGUUCUGUAAGCCUGUGAAGGUGUACUGUGAGGUAUGCUGGAGGUAUCAGAAGUGCGAAUGCUGACAUAAGUAACGAUAAAGCGGGUGAAAAGCCCGCUCGCCGGAAGACCAAGGGUUCCUGUCCAACGUUAAUCGGGGCAGGGUGAGUCGACCCCUAAGGCGAGGCCGAAAGGCGUAGUCGAUGGGAAACAGGUUAAUAUUCCUGUACUUGGUGUUACUGCGAAGGGGGGACGGAGAAGGCUAUGUUGGCCGGGCGACGGUUGUCCCGGUUUAAGCGUGUAGGCUGGUUUUCCAGGCAAAUCCGGAAAAUCAAGGCUGAGGCGUGAUGACGAGGCACUACGGUGCUGAAGCAACAAAUGCCCUGCUUCCAGGAAAAGCCUCUAAGCAUCAGGUAACAUCAAAUCGUACCCCAAACCGACACAGGUGGUCAGGUAGAGAAUACCAAGGCGCUUGAGAGAACUCGGGUGAAGGAACUAGGCAAAAUGGUGCCGUAACUUCGGGAGAAGGCACGCUGAUAUGUAGGUGAAGUCCCUCGCGGAUGGAGCUGAAAUCAGUCGAAGAUACCAGCUGGCUGCAACUGUUUAUUAAAAACACAGCACUGUGCAAACACGAAAGUGGACGUAUACGGUGUGACGCCUGCCCGGUGCCGGAAGGUUAAUUGAUGGGGUCAGCGCAAGCGAAGCUCUUGAUCGAAGCCCCGGUAAACGGCGGCCGUAACUAUAACGGUCCUAAGGUAGCGAAAUUCCUUGUCGGGUAAGUUCCGACCUGCACGAAUGGCGUAAUGAUGGCCAGGCUGUCUCCACCCGAGACUCAGUGAAAUUGAACUCGCUGUGAAGAUGCAGUGUACCCGCGGCAAGACGGAAAGACCCCGUGAACCUUUACUAUAGCUUGACACUGAACAUUGAGCCUUGAUGUGUAGGAUAGGUGGGAGGCUUUGAAGUGUGGACGCCAGUCUGCAUGGAGCCGACCUUGAAAUACCACCCUUUAAUGUUUGAUGUUCUAACGUGGACCCGUAAUCCGGGUUGCGGACAGUGUCUGGUGGGUAGUUUGACUGGGGCGGUCUCCUCCUAAAGAGUAACGGAGGAGCACGAAGGUUGGCUAAUCCUGGUCGGACAUCAGGAGGUUAGUGCAAUGGCAUAAGCCAGCUUGACUGCGAGCGUGACGGCGCGAGCAGGUGCGAAAGCAGGUCAUAGUGAUCCGGUGGUUCUGAAUGGAAGGGCCAUCGCUCAACGGAUAAAAGGUACUCCGGGGAUAACAGGCUGAUACCGCCCAAGAGUUCAUAUCGACGGCGGUGUUUGGCACCUCGAUGUCGGCUCAUCACAUCCUGGGGCUGAAGUAGGUCCCAAGGGUAUGGCUGUUCGCCAUUUAAAGUGGUACGCGAGCUGGGUUUAGAACGUCGUGAGACAGUUCGGUCCCUAUCUGCCGUGGGCGCUGGAGAAUUGAGGGGGGCUGCUCCUAGUACGAGAGGACCGGAGUGGACGCAUCACUGGUGUUCGGGUUGUCAUGCCAAUGGCACUGCCCGGUAGCUAAAUGCGGAAGAGAUAAGUGCUGAAAGCAUCUAAGCACGAAACUUGCCCCGAGAUGAGUUCUCCCUGACCCUUUAAGGGUCCUGAAGGAACGUUGAAGACGACGACGUUGAUAGGCCGGGUGUGUAAGCGCAGCAAUGCGUUGAGCUAACCGGUACUAAUGAACCGUGAGGCUUAACCUU
rnacentral:rRNA from 1 species